GUUUUGGAGUGCAGGCGUGAAUAGUCCUUUCUGUCCUGCUUUGAGUACUGCUGUUGGGUGCCUUGGGGGGACCUUAAGGGAGCUCGGAAGUUGAGACGUGGUGAGUGCGAGAUCACUGCCCACAAAGGGGAGGAGCAGGCGGAUGAACAGCCAGAGCUGCAAUGGUGGAUCCUCCUCCAGGGCUGCAUGGGACGACAGAUAGAUGAGGCUCUAGGACGGGCACAAAUGCUACCCGAAUGCAAACCACUCCGGAGAUCUGUAAAAGGACUGGCCCCGGACAGGAAGCACACUUUAAACUAGAGGCGGGGUAAGACUCGUGGGCCAAUCAAGGCUUCCGAACAGAACUGCCAUUCUGGCAAUGAGGCGGGGUCUUCCGGUUGCCUGCUGGAAGUUUGUUUUUGCUCUGCAGGAUUGAAGGGUUCUCCCUAUGCUGCUUUGAGCGCUGCUAUUGGGUGCCUUGAGGGGACCUCAAGUAAGCUCCAUUUUUGAAACAUGAUCUUCAUCCACAUCUUGAAGUUUGAAGUUUGGCCAAGAAUAUACAAAAUAGAUUCUCUUUCUCAGGAUGGCAAGUGUUCAUGACAUCAAUACUACCCAAGGCUUCAGAGUCAUUGGAUUGCAGGUGUCUCUAUGGUUUCAAUUCAGCACUAUUCCAUCCAUCUUUUGGCAGAGUCAGAGCCCCGGUGAAGAUUCUGUGAGAGUUCAUUGUAUUGAAUUUAUGAUGAUGAAGAUUGAGUUGCAUUUUGCGGAAAAGAGAUGUUGAGAUACCUAAGGCAUUGAGAAAUCUGUCAUGCAGACAUGCACACAGGGAGAGGGAGUACCCAAAAUGAUGAGAAGUUACAGGAAUUGGACCAUCUAAGCCCUUAGAAAGUGAAGUCCACUGUGUCUCAAACAAAGAUCUUCAUCCACAUCUUGAAGUUUGAAGUUUGGCCAAGAAUAUACAGAGUAGAUUCUCUUUCUCAGGAUGGCAUGUGUUCAUGACAUCAAUACUACCCAAGGCUUCAGAGUCAUUGGAUUGCAGGAUUAUGCUUUGUGUUGUCCAAAUCUAUGGGAUAUUUUAGGAUGCAGUGACUUAUGAUGAUGUGCGUGUGAACUUCACUGAGGAAGAGUGGGAUUUGCUGGAUCCUUCCCAGAAAAGUCUUUAUGAAGAGGUGAUGCUGGAGACCUACCAGAACAUCACUGCUAUAGG
rnacentral:lncRNA from 1 species